rnacentral:rRNA from 1 species
CGAAGGAUCCAAGCGUUAUCCGGAUUCAUUGGGUUUAAAGGGUGCGUAGGCGGGUUUAUAAGUCAGUGGUGAAAGCCGAUCGCUUAACGAUCGAACUGCCAUUGAUACUGUAGACCUAGAGUACAGAUGAUGUUGGCGGAAUAUGACAUGCAGCGGUGAAAUGCAUAGAUAUGUCAUAGAACACCGAUUGCGAAGGCAGCUGACAAAACUGUAACUGACGCUGAUGCACGAAAGUGCGGGGAUCAAACAGGAUUAGAUACCCUGGUAGUCCGCACAGUAAACGAUGAUAACUAGUUGUUUGCGAUAUACAGUAAGCGACCAAGCGAAAGCGAUAAGUUAUCCACCUGGGGAGUACGCUCGCAAGAGUG